AAUGGGCGAAAGCCGUGAUGGAGCAACGCCGGCGUGAGUGAAGAAGGUUUUCGGAUCGUAAAGCUCUGUUGUUGGUGAAGAAGGAUAGAGGUAGUAACUGGCCCCUAUUUGACGGUAAUCAACCAGAAAGUCACCGGCUAACUACGUGCC
rnacentral:rRNA from 1 species